UACGUAGGGGGCAAGCGUUAUCCGGAUUCAUUGGGCGUAAAGCGCUCGUAGGCGGCUUGUUAGGUCGGGAGUUAAAUCCCGGGGCUCAACCCCGGCACGCUCCCGAUACCGGCAGGCUUGAGUUUGGUAGGGGAAAGUGGAAUUCCAAGUGUAGCGGUGGAAUGCGCAGAUAUUUGGAAGAACACCAGUGGCGAAGGCGGCUUUCUGGGCCAUAACUGACGCUGAGGAGCGAAAGCUAGGGGAGC
rnacentral:rRNA from 1 species